rnacentral:rRNA from 1 species
CAGUAGCCACGGGAAUACGAAGGGGGCUAGCGUUGCUCGGAAUGACUGGGCGUAAAGGGCGCGUAGGCGGCGAUCAAAGUCAGGCGUGAAAUUCCUGGGCUCAACCUGGGGGCUGCGCUUGAUACUUGGUUGCUUGAGUGGGGAAGAGGGUCGUGGAAUUCCCAGUGUAGAGGUGAAAUUCGUAGAUAUUGGGAAGAACACCAGUGGCGAAGGCGGCUCACUGGACAUUUACUGACGCUGAUGCACGAAAGCUAGGGGAGCAAACAGGAUUAGAUACCCCCGUAGUCCCUGUCUCUUAUAC